rnacentral:rRNA from 1 species
UACGAAGGGGGCUAGCGUUGUUCGGAUUUACUGGGCGUAAAGUGCGUGUAGGCGGAUUUGUAAGUUGGGGGUGAAAUCCCGAGGCUCAACCUCGGAACUGCCUCCAAAACUACAAGUCUGGAGCAAGAUAGAGGCAAGUGGAAUUGCGAGUGUAGAGGUGAAAUUCGUAGAUAUUCGCAGGAACACCAGUGGCGAAGGCGACUUGCUGGAUCUUUGCUGACGCUGAGACGCGAAAGCGUGGGGAGCAAACAGG